rnacentral:rRNA from 1 species
GUGAGGAAUAUUGGUCAAUGGACGGAAGUCUGAACCAGCCAUGCCGCGUGCAGGAAGACGGCUCUAUGAGUUGUAAACUGCUUUUGUACGAGGGUAAACGCAGAUACGUGUAUCUGCCUGAAAGUAUCGUACGAAUAAGGAUCGGCUAACUCCGUGCCAGCAGCCGCGGUAAUACGGAGGAUCCAAGCGUUAUCCGGAUUUAUUGGGUUUAAAGGGUGCGUAGGCGGUUUAGUAAGUCAGCGGUGAAAUUUUGGUGCUUAACACCAAACGUGCCGUUGAUACUGCUGGGCUAGAGAGUAGUUGCGGUAGGCGGAAUGUAUGGUGUAGCGGUGAAAUGCUUAGAGAUCAUACAGAACACCGAUUGCGAAGGCAGCUUACCAAACUAUAUCUGACGUUGAGGCACGAAAGCGUGGGGAGCAAACAGGA